rnacentral:rRNA from 1 species
GAAGGUAGCGUAAUCAUUUGUCUUUUAAAUAGAGACCUGUAUGAAUGGCAUAACGAGGGUUUAACUGUCUCCCUCCCCUAGUCAAUGAAAUUGAUCUGCCCGUGCAGAAGCGGACAUAAACACAUAAGACGAGAAGACCCUAUGGAGCUUUAGACAAAAGAUCAAACAUGUAAAGAAACCAAACUAAUCAAAAGGAACACAAAGGCCACAAAACCCGACGUAAAAUGAUCCAAAUGUCUUCGGUUGGGGCGACCAUGGGGGAAAGAAAAGCCCCCACGAGGAACUAGGGGCAAUCCAUUAAGUCAAGAGAUACACCUCUAAACAACAGAAAAUCUGACCAAAAAUGACCCAGGACACUAAUCCUGAUCAACGAACCAAGUUACCCUAGGGAUAACAGCGCAAUCCUUUCCCAGAGUCCAUAUCGACGAAAGGGUUUACGACCUCGAUGUUGGAUCAGGACAUCCUAAUGGUGCAGCCGCUAUUAAGGGUUCGUUUGUUC